rnacentral:rRNA from 1 species
AUGAACGCUGGCGGCGUGCCUCAUCCAUGCCAGUCGAGCGAACGGACGAGAAGCUUGCUUCUCUGAUGUUAGCGGCGGACGGGUGAGUAACACGUGGAUAACCUACCUAUAAGACUGGGAUAACUUCGGGAAACCGGAGCUAAUACCGGAUGAUAUUUUGAACCGCAUGGUUCAAAAGUGAAAGACGGUCUUGCUGUCACUUAUAGAUGGAUCCGCGCUGCAUUAGCUAGUUGGUAAGGCAACGGCUUACCAAGGCAACGAUGCAUAGCCGACCUGAGAGGGUGAUCGGCCACACUGGAACUGAGACACGGUCCAGACUCCUACGGGAGGCAGCAGUAGGGAAUCUUCCGCAAUGGGCGAAAGCCUGACGGAGCAACGCCGCGUGAGUGAUGAAGGUCUUCGGAUCGUAAAACUCUGUUAUUAGGGAAGAACAUAUGUGUAAGUAACUGUGCACAUCUUGACGGUACCUAAUCAGAAAGCCACGGCUAACUACGUG